GCCCUGGUGGCAUAAUGGUGAAGCUUUCAGCUGCUAACUGAAAGGUGGCAGUUUGAACCUACCCAACAGCU
rnacentral:tRNA from 1 species